AAUAGAUACCCAGGUAGUCCACGCCGUAAACGAUGAGUGCUAAGUGUUAGGGGGUUUCCGCCCCUUAGUGCUGCAGCUAACGCAUUAAGCACUCCGCCUGGGGAGUACGGUCGCAAGACUGAAACUCAAAGGAAUUGACAGGGGCCCGCACAAGCGGUGGAGCAUGUGGUUUAAUUCGAAGCAACGCGAAGAACCUUACCAGGUCUUGACAUCCCGCUGACCGCUAUGGAGACAUAGCUUUCCCUUCGGGGACAGCGGUGACAGGUGGUGCAUGGUUGUCGUCAGCUCGUGUCGUGAGAUGUUGGGUUAAGUCCCGCAACGAGCGCAACCCUUGUCCUUAGUUGCCAUCAUUCAGUUGGGCACUCUAAGGAGACUGCCGGCUAAAAGUCGGAGGAAGGUGGGGAUGACGUACAAAUCAUCAUCGCCCUUAUGACCGUGGGCUACACACGUGCUACAAUGGACGGUACAAACGGUUGCGAAGUCGCGAGAUGGAGCUAAUCCGAAGUAAAACCGUUCUCAGUUCGGAUUGCAGG
rnacentral:rRNA from 1 species